rnacentral:misc_RNA from 1 species
GUAGGUGAACCUGCGGAAGGAUCAUUUCUGAACUAAGGGGAUUUGUCAUUGGAAAGCUUCUUUUCUUGACACUUCCUCUUAUCAAAGAGAGUGUGUGGUAUAAAUGAAAAGGAAAUUGAAUAAAUUGAAAAUGGAAUCUAAAUGAGGUCUUGUGCCUUGUUUUCUUUCCAACUUUCUUUUUCUUCGUUUCCUAAUCUACUUUUAUGAACCAAAACAAGUUACUUUUUGUUCAAAAACAAAACGUCUUUUG